GAAAUUCUAAAAAACAAAACAAAACUGAACAAAACCCGCAGAAUCCUGUUAGUACUUCGUAACAGAGGAGACAAAUGGCAGAGUUCAUCCGCGGCAGAUGUGCAAGUUGACGGUUGCAAGCCAGGAGACCCACGUCCCUGCCGUCCCUUGGGGAAUGAAGCAGAUCGGUGGGGUUGGGGCUGGGCUGGAGACUAUACAAAACAUCACUAGAAGGUUUGUUUAUUUUAUGUUACAAGAGUUUGGGAAUGUGAUGUUGAGUAAUUCUGUCGACAUUUCACCUAGUUUAAGUCACUAGCGCAAUGAGUCUGUUUGGCCUCGAGUUGUUUUCGCCUCCGAGGAUAGUAUGUUUAUAUCACAAAGUCUCCCCACCCUGCUGCAGUAAUUCCACAGACAAGCGAGAAGAGAGAUUGGGAUUAAAGAGUCACGGACAUAGACAGGCCUCUCCACAAGGCUCCGCUGGUUCUGUCCUCUUCACUUGUCUUCUGUAGCUUCCCCAAGGAUUAUGAUGUUCAUAACAGGCUCUGCUACAAAAGCAACCUACUUUACUGGACUUCUGGAUCAGGAACUCUCCUGCUGGAACCAGCCAGUUUAGUCCGAUUAUUCUGUUACCUUUUCUCUGAAAUUGGCCCACAUCAGAUGCUUACAGGGAAAGUGGAGACAGAACACUGAAGACAGAUGGCUUGAGUACGAGAAUGCUUUCAGUAAUAUAGACAGUAGUUUUCAAUUACAGAAUUUUGUUUCGUGGAGACUUUGUAAUGUUGCUGAGAAAUGAUCCUUUGUAAGGAUUUUCAGUAUAUGUACUCAUUACCUAGAAAUGGAGCAGGUGUGGCUUUUUGCAUUGAGAAAAUUAGGGA